rnacentral:tRNA from 1 species
GAGAAGAACCUAAGACCUGCUAACUCUUUAUUCUGGUACUAAUCCACCAGUCUUCUCU